rnacentral:lncRNA from 1 species
AACGAAUUGGCGCGGGCACUAGAAAAGUCUGCAGCACCCGGCCUCCCCCUGCUAGAAUCCGAAGUCAAAUGUCUGCUGUUUGCUGAUGAUCUGGUGCUUCUGUCACCAACCAAGGAGGGCCUACAGCAGCACCUAGAUCUUAUGCACAGAUUCUGUCAGACCUGGGCCCUUACAGUAAAUCUCAGUAAGACCAAAAUAAUGGUGUUCCAAAAAAGGUCCAGUCACCAGGACCACAAAUACAAAUUCCAUCUAGACACUGUUGCCCUAGAGCACACAAAAAACUAUACAUACCUUGGCCUAAACAUCAGCACCACAGGUAACUUCCACAAAGCUGUGAAUGAUCCGAGAGACAAGGCAAGAAGGGCAUUCUAUGCCAUCAAAAGAAACAUAAAUUUCAACAUACCAAUUAGGAUUUGGCAAAAAAUACUUGAAUCAGUCAUAGAGCCCAUUGCCCUUUAUGGUUGUGAGGUCUGGGGUCCGCUCACCAACCAAGACUUCACAAAAUGGGACAAACACCAAAUUGAGACUCUGCACGCAGAAUUCUGCAAAAAUAUCCUCCGUGUACAACGUAGAACACCAAAUAAUGCAUGCAGAGCAGAAUUAGGCCGAUACCCACUAAUGAUCAAAAUCCAGAAAAGAGCUGUUAAAUUCUACAACCACCUAAAAGGAAGCGAUUCACAAACCUUCCAUAACAAAGCCAUCACCUACAGAGAGAUGAACCUGGAGAAGAGUCCCCUAAGUAAGCUGGUCCUGGGGCUCUGUUCACAAACACAAACACACACUACAGAGCCCCAGGACAGCAGCACAAUUAGACCCAACCAAAUCAUGAGAAAACAAAAAGAUAACUACUUAACACAUUGGAAAGAAUUAACAAAAAAACAGAGCAAACUAGAAUGCUAUUUGGCCCUACACAGAGAGUACACAGCGGCAGAAUACCUGACCACUGUGACUGACCCAAAAUUAAGGAAAGCCUUGACUAUGUACAGACUCAGUGAGCAUAGCCUUGCUAUUGAGAAAGGCCGCCGUAGGCAGACAUGGCUCUCAAGAGAAGGCAGGCUAUGUGCUCACUACUCAUAAAAUGAGGUGGAAACUGAGCUGCACUUCCUAACCUCCUGCCCAAUGUAUGACCAUAUUAGAGAGACAUAUUUCCCUCAGAUUACACAGAUCCACAAAGAAUUCGAAAACAAAUCCAAUUUUGAAAAAC